GUACUAAGGUAGCAUAAUCACUUGCCUCUUAAUUAGAGGAUAGUAUGAAAGAAAUAACGAGUUAUUAAUACCUCCAUAUACAAAACAAAUAACCUAAUCUAAAGGUAAAAAAUCCUUAAAACCAAAGAAAGACGACAAGACCCUGUCGAACUUAUACAAAAAUGAUAAGCUGGGGCAGCUUAAAAAUAAAACCUUAAUAUUAUAUAAAUAAUAAAACUAUUAAAAAUAAAAUAAACAAAAGUUACCGCAGGGAUAACAGCACAAUUAUUUACUGGAGCACAAAUCCAAUAAAUACAUUAUGACCUCGAUGUUGAAUUAUCCUACUUAAAUAAGAAAAUAUAUUAAAAGAAGGUCUGUUCGACCAUAAUAUGAUACAUGAU
rnacentral:rRNA from 1 species